GACGAACGCUGGCGGCGUGCCUAAUACAUGCAAGUCGAGCGCUGAAGGAUGGUACUUGUACCAAUUGGAUGAGCAGCGAACGGGCGGGUAACGCGUGGGGAAUCUGCCUUUGAGCGGGGGACAAUAUUUGGAAACGAAUGCCACUACCGCAUAAUAACUCUAAACACUAGUUUCAAGUUUGAAUGAUGCAAUUGCAUCACUCAUAGACGAUCCCGCGUUGUAUUAGUUAGCUGGUGAGGUAAAGGCGCACCAAGGCGAUGAUACAUAGUCGAUCUGAGAGGGUGAUCGGCCACACUGGGACUCAGACACAGCCCCAACUCCUACAGGGGACGGCAGUAGGGAGUCUUUGGCAAUGGGCGAGAGACUGACCGAGCGACACCGCGUGAGGGAGGAGGGUUUUCGGAUCGCGAAACUCUGUUGGUUGGGGAGAGAGAUGGUGAGGGUGGAAAGCUCAUCGAGUGACGGUAACUAACCGGAAAGGGACGGCUAACUACGUG
rnacentral:rRNA from 1 species